rnacentral:rRNA from 1 species
UACGUAGGGGGCAAGCGUUGUCCGGAAUUAUUGGGCGUAAAGCGCGCGCAGGCGGCUUCGUAAGCCCAGUGUUUAAGCUCGGAGCUCAACUCCGAUACGCACUGGGAACUGCGAGGCUUGAGUGCAGAAGAGGAAGUGGAAUUCCACGUGUAGCGGUGAAAUGCGUAGAGAUGUGGAGGAACACCAGUGGCGAAGGCGACUUCUGGGCUGUAACUGACGCUGAGGCGCGAAAGCGUGGGGAGCGAACAGG